GUGCUCGCUUCCGCAGCACAUACACUAAAAUUGGAACGAUACAGAGAUUAGCAUGGCACCUGUACAAGGAUGACACGCAAAUUCGUGAAGUGUUCCAUAUUUUU
rnacentral:snRNA from 1 species